rnacentral:rRNA from 1 species
UACGGAGGAUGCGAGCGUUAUCCGGAUUUAUUGGGUUUAAAGGGUGCGUAGGUUGUUUUUUAAGUCAGUUGUGAAAGUUUGCGGCUCAACCGUAAAAUUGCAGUUGAAACUGGCAGUCUUGAGUACAGUAGAGGUGGGCGGAAUUCGUGGUGUAGCGGUGAAAUGCUUAGAUAUCACGAAGAGCUCCGAUUGCGAAGGCAGCAUACCGGCGCCCUACUGACGCUGAGGCACGAAAGUGCGGGUAUCGAACAGG